rnacentral:RNase_P_RNA from 1 species
GAAGUGGGCUGGACGGUCGCUGCUGUGGAGGUCUCCGUGACUGAAGCAGGGGAGGAAAGUCUGGGCUUCAUAGGGCAGGGUGCCAGGUAACGCCUGGGCGGUGUAAACCGACGGCAAGUGCAGCAGAGAGUAGACCGCCUCAUUCGUGAGGUAAGGGUGAAAGGGUGCGGUAAGAGCGCACCGCGUGUCUGGUAACAGUUCACGGCAAGGUAAACCCCACCAGAAGCAAGACCAAAUAGGAAUCCUGAGGCACGGCCCGUGCUGGAUUCGGGUAGGUCGCUUGAGCGUAUGAGUGAUUGUACGCCUAGAGGAAUGAUCGUCCUCGACAGAACCCGGCUUACAGGCCCACUUCUAAG